rnacentral:misc_RNA from 1 species
AAGGAGUCUACAUAUCUGCGAGUUUUUGGGUGUCAAAACCGAGUGCGCAAUGUAAGUGCAGGUAGGAUCCACGUGCAAGCUGCAGCUUCGACCGAUAUGGACCUUUAGUGAUGGAUUUGAGUAAGAGCAUAUAUGUUGGGACCCGAAAGAUGGUGAACUAUGCCUGAAUAGGGUGAAGCCAGAGGAAACUCUGGUGGAGGCUCGUAGCGGUUCUGACGUGCAAAUCGAUCGUCAAAUUUGGGUAUAGGGGCGAAAGACUAAUCGAACCAUCUAGUAGCUGGUUCCUG